rnacentral:rRNA from 1 species
CCUACGGGAGGCAGCAGUGGGGAAUAUUGGACAAUGGGCGGAAGCCUGAUCCAGCCAUGCCGCGUGUGUGAAGAAGGCCUUUUGGUUGUAAAGCACUUUAAGCGAGGAGGAGGCUACUAGUACUAAUACUACUGGAUAGUGGACGUUACUCGCAGAAUAAGCACCGGCUAACUCUGUGCCAGCAGCCGCGGUAAUACAGAGGGUGCGAGCGUUAAUCGGAUUUACUGGGCGUAAAGCGUGCGUAGGCGGCUUUUUAAGUCGGAUGUGAAAUCCCCGAGCUUAACUUGGGAAUUGCAUUCGAUACUGGGAAGCUAGAGUAUGGGAGAGGAUGGUAGAAUUCCAGGUGUAGCGGUGAAAUGCGUAGAGAUCUGGAGGAAUACCGAUGGCGAAGGCAGCCAUCUGGCCUAAUACUGACGCUGAGGUACGAAAGCAUGGGGAGCAAACAGGAUUAGAUACCCUGGUAGUCCAUGCCGUAAACGAUGUCUACUAGCCGUUGGGGCCUUUGAGGUCUUUAGUGGCGCGNGCGUACGACGAUAAGUAGACCGCCGUCGGGAGGUACGGUCGGCGAGAACGUAAACCGUAACGAAAGUAGAAGUUAGUACGGACGUAGAGGACGUUGGCCGACGGACGGACCGACGACGGGGAGGGUAGGG